AGCGAACGCUGGCGGCAGGCCUAACACAUGCACGUCGAACGAACCCUUCGGGGUUAGUGGCGGACGGGUGAGUAACACGUGGGAACGUGCCUUUAGGUUCGGACUAACUCAGGGAAACUUGUGCUAAUACCGAAUGUGCCCUUCGGGGGCAAGAUUUAUCGCCUUUAGAGCGGCCCGCGUAUGAUUAGCUCGUUGGUGAGGGAAUGCCGCACCAAGGCUACGCGCCGUAGCUGGUCGGUGAGGAUGACCACCCACAUUGGGACGGGGCCACGGCGCCAACUCGUAAGGGGGGCCACAGUGGGGGAUCUUGCGCGAUGGGCGAGAGCCUGACGCAGCCAGGCAGCGUGGCUGAUGAAGGUCGUAGGCCUGCAAAAUCCUUUCACCGGUGAAGAUAAUGACUGUAGCCGGAGAAGAAGCCCCGGCUAACUUCGUGCCAGCAGCCGCCGUAACAC
rnacentral:rRNA from 1 species